AAACGCGGAGGUGUCGUCCGUUCGGCGCUAGAUCGGGACGGAUCGUGGGUCGGUUCGAGGGACGGAUCGUGAAGACGUACCACUACAUCAUCCGCGUUUCUUAAUGCUUCCUGCUGAGCUAUCUAUAAGGGUAUGUGGAUCAAAUCUCCCUCUCGUAGAUGAACAUCACCAUGAUAGGUCUUCGUGUGCGUAGGAAAUUUUUUGUUUCCCAUGCAACGUUCCCCAACAGUGGCAUCAUGAGCUAGGUUCAUGCGUAGAUGUUAUCUCGAGUAGAACACAAAAGGUUUUGUGGGCGUUGAUGUUCGAU
rnacentral:lncRNA from 1 species